UGGGGAAUUUUGGACAAUGGGCGAAAGCCUGAUCCAGCAAUGCCGCGUGUGUGAAGAAGGCCUUCGGGUUGUAAAGCACUUUUGUCCGGAAAGAAAUCCUUGGCUCUAAUACAGUCGGGGGAUGACGGUACCGGAAGAAUAAGCACCGGCUAACUACGUGCCAGCAGCCGCGGUAAUACGUAGGGUGCAAGCGUUAAUCGGAAUUACUGGGCGUAAAGCGUGCGCAGGCGGUUUGCUAAGACCGAUGUGAAAUCCCCGGGCUCAACCUGGGAACUGCAUUGGUGACUGGCAGGCUAGAGUAUGGCAGAGGGGGGUAGAAUUCCACGUGUAGCAGUGAAAUGCGUAGAGAUGUGGAGGAAUACCGAUGGCGAAGGCAGCCCCCUGGGCCAAUACUGACGCUCAUGCACGAAAGCGUGGGGAGCAAACAGGAUUAGAUACCCUGGUAGUCCACGCCCUAAACGAUGUCAACUAGUUGUUGGGGAUUCAUUUCCUUAGUAACGUAGCUAACGCGUGAAGUUGACCGCCUGGGGAGUACGGUCGCAAGAUUAAAACUUAAAUGAAUUGACGGGGUCAUAGC
rnacentral:rRNA from 1 species